rfam:Operophtera brumata OBRT01_Sc18905, whole genome shotgun sequence.
CGGCCAGUGGCGUAGCGGUCUAACGGAUCUCCGUAUCAAGGAGAUGGUAGCGGGUUCGAAUCCCGCCUGGUUCG